rnacentral:rRNA from 1 species
UACGGGGGGGGCAAGCGUUGUUCGGAAUUACUGGGCGUAAAGGGCUCGUAGGCGGCCAACUAAGUCAGACGUGAAAUCCCUCGGCUCAACCGAGGAACUGCGUCUGAUACUGGAAGGCUUGAAUCCGGGAGAGGGAUGUGGAAUUCCAGGUGUAGCGGUGAAAUGCGUAGAUAUCUGGAGGAACACCGGUGGCGAAGGCGGCAUCCUGGACCGGUAUUGACGCUGAGGCGCGAAAGCUAGGGGAGCAAACGGG